rnacentral:rRNA from 1 species
GUCUAUGGCCAUACCAUCCUGAAAAUAACCGAUCUCUUCUGGUCUCAGAAGCUAAGCAGGUCAGGCCUGGUUAAUACUUGGAUAGGAGACCACCAGGGAAUACCAGGUUAAAAAAA